UUUCCGGUUGAUCCCGCCGGACCUGACUGCUAUCGGAUUGAUACUAAGCCAUGCGAAUCUUUGUAGUAAUACAAGGCAGACGGCUCAGUAACACGUAGUCAACCUACCCUAUGGACGAGAAUAAUCUCGGGAAACUGAGCAUAAUUCUCGAUAGAUCAUAAUGCCUGGAAUGGUUUAUGGUUAAAAUGAUUCGUCGCCAUAGGAUGGGACUGCGGCCUACCAGCUUGUUGGUGAGGUAAUGGCCCACCAAGGCGAUUACAGGUACGGGCUCUGAGAGGAGAAGCCCGGAGAUGGGUACUGAGACACGGACCCAGGCCCUAUGAGGCGCAGCAGGCGAGAAAACUUUGCAAUGUGCGAAAGCACGACAAGGUUAAUCCGAGUGAUUUCUGCUAAAGAAAUCUUUUGUCAGUCAUAAAACCACUGACGAAUAAGGGGUGGGCAAGUUCUGGUGUCAGCCGCCGCGGUAAAACCAGCACCUCAAGUGGUCAGGAUGAUUAUUGGGCCUAAAGCAUCCGUAGCCGGCUUUGUUAGUUUUCGGUUAAAUCCAUGUGCUCAACACAUGGGCUGCCGAAAAUACUGCAUGGCUAGGGAGUGGGAGAGGUAGACGGUACUCA
rnacentral:rRNA from 1 species